UCUUCCCUCUGUCGGCGUGCCUAAUACAUGCAAGUCGAGGGAACGGACGAGAAGCUUGCUUCUCUGAUGUUAGCGGCGGACGAGUGAGUAACACGUGGAUAACCUACCUAUAAGACUGGGAUAACUUCGGGAAACCGUAGCUAAUACCGGAUAAUAUUUUGAACCGCAUGGUUCAAAAGUGAAAGACGGUCUUGCCGUCACAUAUCGAUGGAUCCGGGCGGCAUUAGCUAGUUGGUAGGGUAACGGCUGACCAAGGCAACGGUGCAUCGCCGACCUGUGAGGGUGGUCGGCGACACGGGAACUGAGAAAGGGUCCAGAGCCCAACGGGAGGCAGGAGUGGGGAGUCUGGCGCAUUGGGCGAUAGCCUGACGAGGCAACGCGGCGUGAGUGAUGAAGGUCGUCGGAUCGUAAAGCGCUGUUAUUAGGGGAGAACAUAGGAGUGAGUGACUGUGCACGUCUGGAGGGAACCUAAGCAGAAGGCCAGGGCGAGUUUGUG
rnacentral:rRNA from 1 species